rnacentral:rRNA from 1 species
UACGUAGGGUGCGAGCGUUGUCCGGAAUUAUUGGGAGUAAAGAGCUCGUAGGCGGUUUGUUGCGUCGGCCGUGAAAACCUGCAGCUUAACUGUGGGCCUGCGGUCGAUACGGGCAGACUUGAGUUCGGUAGGGGAGACUGGAAUUCCUGGUGUAGCGGUGAAAUGCGCAGAUAUCAGGAGGAACACCGGUGGCGAAGGCGGGUCUCUGGGCCGAUACUGACGCUGCGGAGCGAAAGCGUGGGGAGCGUACAGG